rnacentral:lncRNA from 1 species
ACCAAUCCCACCAUAUUGAAGCAUAGCCGAAAAACUCAAGGGUGGCCAACUUAAGCUUUUUCUCUUCACUAUAAUUAUGGUAACUGAAGAUGUGAUUGACCUUCUGUUCCUACUCGAGGUAGGCCUUUGGGUCAUUCUUCCCUUUAAAGGCUGGUAUCUAGAAUUUAAAGUCAUAUAGGUCCAUGUCCGCCUCAUCGCGACGGCCUCCCUAUUUGUCACCAGCGUCAUCGCCACAAGACCCUAUCUCUUCUCGCACUAUUUCGCAUCGGGUGCCAUUGCGAUGUUCGCGUCACUCCUGACGAUCCAUGCGGGCAGCCAUGUUUCCCAAUUGGAGACUUAACUGGGUGAACAUGCCCAGGACCCUUUUUUCUAUGGUGGCUAGUCUGUUGUUGACACUUUGGGGAUACAUUGCGAAGUUCCUACAAAGACAAGAGUUAGUGAAAGUAAAAACUCUCCCUUACCUCUGCUCAUGUUUACCUUGCAAUCUCUCAAUUGACAACUUUCUUUGUUGAGUUGAAUGUUCAGAAUCAGAAUCAUUUGUAUUGGGUUUGCAUGUUAGUCCUUAU